rnacentral:rRNA from 1 species
AAUCCUUGAAAAAGAAGAUCAAGAAACUUCGAAGAAGCUUUCUUGAUGGAGGGGAGCGGCAGACGGGUGAGUAACGCGUGGGAAUCUACCGUACCCCACGGAAUAGCUCUGGGAAACUGGAGGUAAUACCGUAUACGCCCUAACGGGGAAAGAUUUAUCGGGGUAUGAUGAGCCCGCGUUGGAUUAGCUAGUUGGUGGGGUAAAGGCCUACCAAGGCGACGAUCCAUAGCUGGUCUGAGAGGAUGAUCAGCCACAUUGGGACUGAGGCACGGCCCAAACUCCUACGGGAGGCAGCAGUGGGGAAUAUUGGACAAUGGGCGCAAGCCUGAUCCAGCCAUGCCGCGUGAGUGAUGAAGGUCUUAGGAUUGUAAAGCUCUUUCACCGAUGAAGAUAAUGACGGUAGUCGGAGAAGAAGCCCCGGCUAACUUCGUGCCAGCCGCCGCCGUAA